CCUACGGGAGGCUGCAGUCGAGAAUCUUUCGCAAUGCCCGAAAGGGUGACGAAGCGACGCCGCGUGCGGGAGGAAGGCCUUCGGGUUGUAAACCGCUGUCGGGAGUUAAGAAAUGCAAGGAUGUUAAUAGCGUUCUUGCUUGACUAAGGCUCCGGAGGAAGCCACGGCUAACUCUGUGCCAGCAGCCGCGGUAAUACAGAGGCGGCAAGCGUUGUUCGGAAUUAUUGGGCGUAAAGAGCACGUAGGCGGCUGUGUAAGUCGGUUGUGAAAGCCUUCCGCUCAACGGAAGAACGGCAUCCGAUACUGCAUAGCUUGAGUGUGGGAGGGGAGAGUGGAACUUCUGGUGGAGCGGUGAAAUGCGUAGAUAUCAGAAGGAACACCGGCGGCGAAGGCGACUCUCUGGUCCAUAACUGACGCUGAGUGUGCGAAAGCUAGGGGAGCAAACGGGAUUAGAUACCCCGGUAGUCCUAGCCGUAAACGAUGGGCACUAAGUAGAGGGGUUUUGAUUAUCUCUCUGCCGGAGCUAACGCAUUAAGUGCCCCGCCUGGGGAGUACGGCCGCAAGGCUAAAACUCAAAAGAAUUGACGGGG
rnacentral:rRNA from 1 species